GGCGUGCCUAACACAUGCAAGUCGAACGAGAAAGCUCCUUCGGGAGUUAGUAGAGUGGCGCACGGGUGAGUAACACGUGGAUAAUCUGCCUGAUAAUCUGGGAUAACAUUUCGAAAGGGAUGCUAAUACCGGAUAAGCCCACAGCCUCUUCGGAGGCAGCGGGAAAAGAUGGCCUCUUCUUGAAAGCUAUUGUUAUCAGAUGAGUCCGCGGUCCAUUAGCUAGUUGGUAGGGUAAUGGCCUACCAAGGCAACGAUGGAUAGCUGGUUUGAGAGAAUGAUCAGCCACACUGGAACUGAGACACGGUCCAGACUCCUACGGGAGGCAGCAGUGGGGAAUUUUGCGCAAUGGGGGAAACCCUGACGCAGCAACGCCGCGUGAGUGAUGAAGGUUUUCGGAUCGUAAAGCUCUGUCAAGAGGGAAGAAACCUCCAAUGGUUAAUAUCUGUUGGAAUUGACGGUACCUCUAGAGGAAGCACCGGCUAACUCCGUGCCAGCAGCCGCGGUAAUACGGAGGGUGCAAGCGUUGUUCGGAAUUAUUGGGCGUAAAGCGCGUGUAGGCGGUUUGUUAAGUCUGAUGUGAAAGCCCCGGGCUCAACCUGGGAAGUGCAUUGGAAACUGGCAAACUUGAGUACGGGAGAGGGAAGUGGAAUUUCGAGUGUAGGGGGUGAAAUCCGUAGAUAUUCGAAGGAACACCAGUGGCGAAGGCGGCUUCCUGGACCGAUACUGACGCUGAGACGCGAAAGCGUGGGGAGCAAACAGGAUUAGAUACCCUGAUAGUCCACGCCGUAAACGAUGGGUACUAUGUGUUGCGGGUAUUGACCCCUGCAGUGCCGAAGCUAACGCAUUAAGUACCCCGCCUGGGGGAGUACGGCCGCAAGGCUAAAACUCAAAGGAAUUGACGGGGGCCCGCACA
rnacentral:rRNA from 1 species